UACAGAGGGUGCAAGCGUUGCUCGGAAUCAUUGGGCGUAAAGGGUAGGUAGGUGGUCUCAUUUGUCUGGGGUGAAAGCCUCGAGCUUAACUCGAGAAGUGCCCCGGAAACGGUGAGACUGGAGUCUUGGAGAGGGUCGUGGAAUUCCCGGUGUAGCGGUGAAAUGCGUAGAGAUCGGGAGGAACACCAGCGGCGAAGGCGGCGAACUGGACAGUAACUGACACUCAACUACGAAAGCGUGGGGAGCAAACAGG
rnacentral:rRNA from 1 species